UGCCCAGCAACUCCUCUCCCUACCUCCACGCGGUACCGGCCGGAAACUAUGAGCAACCUUAGGGAAGAUCGGGUAACCAACCCCGGUGGGAACUUUGGUCGUAGGCUGACAGGAAUGAGCAACCUUAGGGAAGAUCGGGUAACCAACCCCGGUGGGAACUUUGGUCGUAGGCUGACAGGGAAGG
rnacentral:ribozyme from 1 species